rnacentral:other from 1 species
GCCGAGCUGGUCGCUCGCCGCCGCAGGCCCAAAGUUCUACCUACAUUUCGUUCAACCAGGGAGCCGCCUCUGAUCGCAGGUGCGCAGGCUCGUUCGACGAGAAGCCCGACGGGGUUAUCGUGGCGCCCACCUACUUGUGUAGGGGUUGAACUUCAAGCCUGCAGCGAGCGACCGGCUCGCUU